AUACAUGGCCGACGCGGGUCAAAGUGCUGUACCUGUAAUUAUCAGCUGAAUAUAUCAUACAGGUUGUAUUCGGACCCAAUGUAUUAAUUUUAUUUUUGCGAGUUGGUGGCGUUCUUGAAGCCUGCUUCACCUCCACCACGGGUCGGCCCGGUAUUGUACUAUCUUAGGGAUCGGCCCAGGUUUU